AGUUCCACAGGUCGUUAGCAUUGUCCCACGUCGCAGUCAUAUAGUCAAAAAUCAAUAUAUUGAUAUAUGCGCAUUGGGGUUAGCAAAAGGAAGAACGCUGAAAGAAGGGACGAGCGAAGCGACGUGUGAGAAGAGGGAAGGGGCGAAGAGCUGAGCCGAAAGGCGAAGGGCCGAACUACAAGGAGGCAGCGACCGAUAGGGAAUCAACCGAUUGAGCUCGCCCGAAGGGCGAGGGGGAUUGUAGACCCUGAUAGAGCUCGACUGAUAAGGAGAGGGGCGAAGAGCUGAACGAAGGGAAGGGGAUCCGUAAGGAUCGAGCUCGACUGAUAAGGAGAGGGUACCCACUGGAGAUGGAUAGGUGAGACGAUAGUCGAUUGGCGACAAAAGGAGAAUAGAGCCAGCGCAAUACCAUCAUGACUUUUGGGAAUCAACCGAUUGAGCUCGCCCGAAGGGCGAGGGGGAUUGUAGACUUAGAUAUGCUCGACCAUAAGGGAGAGGGUAUCGACAGAUAGAGCUCGAGCGUAUGCGAGAGGGGCGACUAAAAGAAUAGCAGUAUUGAGCCAGCGACCGUAAGGUCGAUAGUAGGAGACAGAUAGAGCUCGACUGAUAAGGAGAGGGGCGACACAAGGGGAAUAGAGCCAGCGCAAUACCAUCAUGACUUUUGGGAAUCAACCGAUUGAGCUCGCCCGAAGGGCGAGGGGGAUUGUAGAGACAGAUAGAGCUCGAGCGUAUGCGAGAGGGGCGACAAAAGGGGAAUAGAGCCAGCGCAAUACCAUCAUGACUUUUGGUCGAUUGUAGACGUAAGGAUAGAACUCGACUGAUAAGGAGAGGGGCGACGGAAAGAAUAGCAGGAAUAGAGGCAGCGCAAUACCAUCAUGACUUUUGGGAAUCAACCGAUUGAGCUCGCCCGAAGGGCGAGGGGGAUAGUAGGAGACAGAUAGAGCUCGAGCGUAUGCGAGAGGGGCGACAAAAGGGGAAUAGAGCCAGCGACCGAUAGGUCGAUUGUAGACGUAAGGAUCGAGCUCGACUGAUAAGGCCAAAGAAUACACAUCAGUAUUAAUCUAAAUGGCCGUUGAGCCAUUUACGACUGUUGCUGUGGGGCGAAGAGCUGAACGAAGGGAAGUGUACCCACUGGUGAGACGCUAGUCGAUUGGCGAAGAGCUGAGUAUUGCGUAAGGGAAGUGUACCCACCGGAUAGGUGAGCCGUUAGGCGAUUGGCGAAGAGCUGAACGAAGGGAAGUGAAGAGGCGAAGAGCUCAGA